CUCCUAAGGCUAAAUACUCUCUAGUGACCGAUAGUGAACCAGUACCGUGAGGGAAAGGUGAAAAGCACCCCGGAAGGGGAGUGAAAUAGAACCUGAAACCGUGUGCUUACAAGUAGUCAGAGCCCGUUAAUGGGUGAUGGCGUGCCUUUUGUAGAAUGAACCGGCGAGUUACGAUUUGAUGCAAGGUUAAGCAGUAAAUGUGGAGCCGUAGCGAAAGCGAGUCUGAAUAGGGCGUUUAGUAUUUGGUCGUAGACCCGAAACCAGGUGAUCUACCCUUGGUCAGGUUGAAGUUCAGGUAACACUGAAUGGAGGACCGAACCGACUUACGUUGAAAAGUGAGCGGAUGAACUGAGGGUAGCGGAGAAAUUCCAAUCGAACCUGGAGAUAGCUGGUUCUCUCCGAAAUAGCUUUAGGGCUAGCCUCAAGUGAUGAUUAUUGGAGGUAGAGCACUGUUUGGACGAGGGGCCCCUCUCGGGUUACCGAAUUCAGACAAACUCCGAAUGCCAAUUAAUUUAACUUGGGAGUCAGAACAUGGGUGAUAAGGUCCGUGUUCGAAAGGGAAACAGCCCAGACCACCAGCUAAGGUCCCAAAAUAUAUGUUAAGUGGAAAAGGAUGUGGCGUUGCCCAGACAACUAGGAUGUUGGCUUAGAAGCAGCCAUCAUUUAAAGAGUGCGUAAUAGCUCACUAGUCGAGUGACACUGCGCCGAAAAUGUACCGGGGCUAAACAUAUUACCGAAGCUGUGGAUUGUCCUUUGGACAAUGGUAGGAGAGCGUUCUAAGGGCGUUGAAGCAUGAUCGUAAGGACAUGUGGAGCGCUUAGAAGUGAGAAUGCCGGUGUGAGUAGCGAAAGACGGGUGAGAAUCCCGUCCACCGAUUGACUAAGGUUUCCAGAGGAAGGCUCGUCCGCUCUGGGUUAGUCGGGUCCUAAGCUGAGGCCGACAGGCGUAGGCGAUGGAUAACAGGUUGAUAUUCCUGUACCACCUAUAAUCGUUUUAAUCGAUGGGGGGACGCAGUAGGAUAGGCGAAGCGUGCGAUUGGAUUGCACGUCUAAGCAGUAAGGCUGAGUAUUAGGCAAAUCCGGUACUCGUUAAGGCUGA
rnacentral:rRNA from 1 species